UACGUAGGGUGCGAGCGUUGUCCGGAAUUAUUGGGCGUAAAGAGCUUGUAGGCGGUUUGUCGCGUCUGCUGUGAAAAUCCGGGGCUCAACCCCGGACUUGCAGUGGGUACGGGCAGACUAGAGUGUGGUAGGGGAGACUGGAAUUCCUGGUGUAGCGGUGGAAUGCGCAGAUAUCAGGAAGAACACCGAUGGCGAAGGCAGGUCUCUGGGCCACUACUGACGCUGAGAAGCGAAAGCAUGGGGAGCGAACAGG
rnacentral:rRNA from 1 species